GUCCUCGCUUAGGCAGCACAUAUAGUAAAAAGUUGGAAUGAUACAGAGAUUAGCAUUGCCCCUGCACAAGGAUGACACGCAAAUUCAUGAAGCCUUUCAUAUUUUU
rnacentral:snRNA from 1 species